UGCAAUCGGGUUCAUGCCAUCCCAGA
rnacentral:piRNA from 1 species